rnacentral:rRNA from 1 species
AAUCAACGCUGGCGGCGCGCCUAACACAUGCAAGUCGCACGAGAAAGCGGGAGCAAUCUCGCAAGUAAAGUGGCGUACGGGUGAGUAACACGUGGAUCAUCUGCCCUGGAGUGGGGAAUAACGCUGGGAAACCGGCGCUAAUACCGCAUAUACCCGAGAGGGGAAAGCAGCAAUGCGCUCGAGGAGGAGUCCGCGGCCGAUUAGCUAGUUGGCAGGGUAAAAGCCUACCAAGGCUAUGAUCGGUAGCCGGCCUGAGAGGGCACACGGCCA